rnacentral:rRNA from 1 species
GUGGCGAACGGGUGAGUAACACGUGAGCAAUCUGCCCUUGACUCUGGGAUAACUGCGGGAAACUGUAGCUAAUACCGGAUACUUUCCUCGCUGGGCAUCCAGCGGGGAAGAAAGAAUUUCGGCCAAGGAUGAGCUCGCGGCCUAUCAGCUAGUUGGUGAGGUAAAGGCUCACCAAGGCGACGACGGGUAGCCGGCCUGAGAGGGUGACCGGCCACACUGGAACUGAGACACGGUCCAGACUCCUACGGGAGGCGGCAGUGGGGAAUAUUGCACAAUGGGCGAAAGCCUGAUGCAGCAACGCCGCGUGAGGGAUGAAGGCCUUCGGGUUGUAAACCUCUUUUAGCAGGGAAGAAGCGAAAGUGACGGUACCUGCAGAAAAAGCACCGGCUAACUACGUGCCAGCAGCCGCGGUAAUACGUAGGGUGCAAGCGUUGUCCGGAAUUAUUGGGCGUAAAGAGCUCGUAGGCGGUUUGUCACGUCUGCUGUGAAAAUCCGAGGCUCAACCUCGGACUUGCAGUGGGUACGGGCAGGCUAGAGUGCGGUAGGGGAGAAGGGAAUUCCUGGUGUAGCGGUGGAAUGCGCAGAUAUCAGGAGGAACACCAAUGGCGAAGGCACUUCUCUGGGCCGUAACUGACGCUGAGGAGCGAAAGCGUGGGGAGCGAACAGGAUUAGAUACCCUGGUAGUCCAC